rnacentral:rRNA from 1 species
UACGUAGGGUGCGAGCGUUGUCCGGAAUUAUUGGGCGUAAAGAGCUCGUAGGCGGCUUGUCGCGUCGGAUGUGAAAGCCCGGGGCUUAACUCCGGGUCUGCAUUCGAUACGGGCAGGCUAGAGUUCGGUAGGGGAGAUCGGAAUUCCUGGUGUAGCGGUGAAAUGCGCAGAUAUCAGGAGGAACACCGGUGGCGAAGGCGGGGUCUCUGGGCCGAUACUGACGCUGAGGAGCGAAAGCGUGGGGGAGCGAACAGG